GUUAUCACAUAUUCUCUACAUCUUCUCCAUCACUAAAAGUUGUGAUAAAGUAAGGUUAGGACAAAGAGGUAGAAACCAAAUUCGUAUUAACUCUUCCACUUCUCUGUGCGUGCACUAAUGUCUUCCACAUCAGGUCUGCUGCUCGACAUCUCUUUGAAGAAGACCUAGAAAUGGUAGAGAAGCGAAUCACUAAUACGAAAAAGGUGUAGUAAGUGAAGUAAAAUGAAGAUUCUCCCUUUUGUCAGAGAGAUACUCCUAGACAAACAUCAUUGCCUGCUUCAAAGCGUUCUAGACGCCCUGUUAACUUUGAUGACGGUGAGAAAGAGUCUUCUGAGUAUGAAACUGAAGAGGAAGAAGAGAGGCCUCCACCGUGUAGAAAGUCUAUUCAGGAGGAGGAGCCAGAAUAUGAAGAAGAGCAAGAGCGUGGUCGGGGUGAGGAAGAAGAGGCAUAUGAAGAGUCAGAAGAGGGAGGUUGAGGUAGGAAACUGUUCUUCAGUGUCCAGUAUUAUCCAAUCUGAACCUUCUUGAUCAUGGAGUUGUUGAGUAAGACCUUAACGAUUGCUAGAUAUGCUUGCGACAUUUGCAAGACCUUAAUGAGGAUAAUUUUCUUGUGUUCUGGCUUCUGGCUGUGUAAUAAUCUGGAGUUAAGAUUGUUGCCUAAGUUGCGCGGACUCUCCUCUUUUGAUGCCGCACCCGUGUCGGAUUCUCCAAAAAUACACUACUUUGGGCGAAUCCGACACUCAACGGCCGACAUUUUUAAAGAGUUUGUUGCACGUGUGAAA